UAUCAAGGAGGAAAAAAAUGACAUGUCAAGCUCAACAAUAUGAACAUGUUAAUGAUUUGCUUUAUUUCUUCACUUUCUGAGAUGU